rnacentral:tRNA from 2 species
GCCCAGGUAGCUCAGUUGGUAGAGCAACGGACUGAAAAUCCGUGUGUCGGCGGUUCAAAUCCGUCCCUGGGCACCA